UUUCAGCGUGGCCGUAAUUCGGAAAGACUGAAGGUAGAAAACUCUGGAACGGAGAUUGGCGACUGGAGCAGGAUCCAGGGACUUUAAAUUUUAACCUGAAUUCGAUUGAAUGCAUCUACCAGAAGAGAUAGUCCGGCGUCCGCCGUCCACUCAACUCCGACCAGGGCUUCCAAUGCCUUUCUUUUGGUUUCUACCGAGAUGCUGUCUAAGGAAGACAAGUUAGCAAAUAAAUUGGCUAAGUAAGAGUCCAGCCUGUGAACGGCCUCCAAGCCUGAGCCCAGAGAAGACCGAGCCCCGGCACGAACCUGAUUCCUGCUGCGUGUGUGUUUUUUUAUAUUUGCCAAACACGAGGUUGUCCUUGUGAAUUUCCCUGCACAAUAGCUGACACCCGGGAGAGGGUGCGCGGGCCCCGGCGCCGCUGGGACAGAGACUGGCUUUCCAACCAGAGGAGAGAAUGGAUAGUGAAAUUUUUUUCUUGUCAGUUAACUUCAAAAUAAAACAAAACUGUUUGACCCGUGGAGUUUAUUCAGACGGAAAGCCAGGUUGCCUGACUCGUCCAGUUUGCAAUUUUCCCAGCGCAUCGGCUUUGGCCCCGGAGACAACACCCCCAGGGAGAGGCACAUUUUCAAAGCCACCCUUCACCGGCCCCAGGCCCGGGGCUCUGAUCUCCCUGAGCGCCUCAGUUGGUCCCGGAAAGCGAGGAGAAGAGGGGGUGCAGAGGAAGAAGUGCACCCAAAGAGCUGGCGAAGGCCCCCAUAGUGUUCCAGCUCCUGGGUGCUCCAGCGACGUUGCAGGAGGAAAAAGAAUACAAUUACAUACCGUUUCUGACUUAAAAUAUAGUUUUAACUUGAGAGGUUUGUGGGGUUUUUUAAACCAGAUUUAUGGGGCCUUCUCGCUUGUGCUUAUAUUUCUUCCCGUCCCGGGGACACUUUGGCCGAAGGGCACGGGGUCACCUCGGCGCGCCCCGCCCCCACCCGCGCCCAGGCCCACUAGCCGGGACCGGCUGUCAGUCCAACACAGGCCAUCCCCCAGGGUCCUGACGGAGUGGGGGUUGGGGGAACUGUUGUUUUGUUUUUGUAAUUCUCGAAAACCCCAAAAUGCUCCUUAG
rnacentral:lncRNA from 1 species